rnacentral:tRNA from 1 species
GGAGAGAUGCCCGAGUGGCUAAAGGGGGCAGACUGUAAAUCUGCUGGCUUCGCCCCUACGAAGGUCCGAAUCCUUCUCUCUCCA